CCUGGCGGCCGUAGCGCGGUGGUCCCACCUGACCCCAUGCCGAACUCAGAAGUGAAACGCCGUAGCGCCGAUGGUAGUGUGGGGUCUCCCCAUGCGAGAGUAGGGAACUGCC
rnacentral:rRNA from 2 species